GCUGGGAAAGCUCAGUUGGCAGAGCAUGAGACUCUGAAUCUCAGGGUUGUGGGUUCAAGCCCCACUCUGGGCA